AUUGAACGCUGGCGGCAUGCCUUACACAUGCAAGUCGAACGGUAACGCGGGGCAACCUGGCGACGAGUGGCGAACGGGUGAGUAAUGCAUCGGAACGUGCCCAGUAGUGGGGGAUAGCCCGGCGAAAGCCGGAUUAAUACCGCAUACGACCUAAGGGUGAAAGGGGGGGAUCGCAAGACCUCUCGCUAUUGGAGCGGCCGAUGUCAGAUUAGGUAGUUGGUGGGGUAAAGGCCUACCAAGCCGACGAUCUGUAGCUGGUCUGAGAGGACGACCAGCCACACUGGGACUGAGACACGGCCCAGACUCCUACGGGAGGCAGCAGUGGGGAAUUUUGGACAAUGGACGCAAGUCUGAUUCAGCCAUGCCGCGUGCGGGAAGAAGGCCUUCGGGUUGUAAACCGCUUUUGUCAGGGAAGAAAUCUUCUGGGUUAAUACCUCGGGAGGAUGACGGUACCUGAAGAAUAAGCACCGGCUAACUACGUGCCAGCAGCCGCGGUAA
rnacentral:rRNA from 1 species